rnacentral:rRNA from 1 species
GACGAACGCUGGCGGCGUGCCUAAUACAUGCAAGUAGAACGCUGAGGAGCGGAGCUUGCUCUUCGGGGAUGAGUUGCGCACGGGUGAGUAACGCGUAUAUAACCUGCCUUUUAGCGGGAGAUCGCUCUUGGACACGAUAGCUAAUACCGCAUAACAUGGGAUGACACAUGUCAUUGAUUGGAAGGGGGCAAUUGCUCCACUACAAGCUGGACCUGCGUUGGAUUAGCUAGUAGGUGAGGUAAUAGCUCACCUAGGCGACGAUACAUAGCCGACCUGGUGGGGUGAUCGGCGACACUGGGACUGAGACAAGGCCCAGACGCCUACGGGAGGCAGCAGUAGGGAAACUGGGGAAAAGGGGGCAACCCUGACCGAGCAACGCCGCGUGAGCGACGUAGGUUUUCGGAUCGUAAAGCUUUGUAGCCUGUUAAGAACGGGUGUGAGAGUGGAAAGUGGAUGUUGUGACGGUAGCUUAUCAGAAAGCGACGGCUAACUACGUG